rnacentral:rRNA from 1 species
GACGAACGCUGGCGGCGUGCUUAACACAUGCAAGUCGAACGGAAAGGCCCUGCUUUUGUGGGGUGCUAGAGUGGCGAACGGGUGAGUAACACGUGAGUAACCUGCCCUUGACUUUGGGAUAACUUCAGGAAACUGGGGCUAAUACCGGAUAGGAGCUCCUGCUGCAUGGUGGGGGUUGGAAAGUUUCGGCGGUUGGGGAUGGACUCGCGGCUUAUCAGCUUGUUGGUGGGGUAGUGGCUUACCAAGGCUUUGACGGGUAGCCGGCCUGGGAGGGUGACCGGCCACAUUGGGAUGGAGAUACGGCCCAGACUCCUACGGGAGGCAGCAGUGGGGAAUAUUGCACAAUGGGCGGAAGCCUGAUGCAGCAACGCCGCGUGCGGGAUGACGGCCUUCGGUUUGUAAACCGCUUUCGCCUGUGACGAAGCGUGAGUGACGGUAAUUGGUAAAGAAGCACCGGCUAACUACGUG